rnacentral:rRNA from 1 species
AUACGGAGGGUGCAAGCGUUAUUCGGAAUCACUGGGCGUAAAGGGUGCGUAGGCGGCUUGAUAAGUCGGAUGUGAAAGCCCCGGGCUUAACCUGGGAAUUGCAUUCGAUACUGUCAGGCUAGAGUAUGUCAGAGGUUGGCGGAAUUCCUGGUGUAGCGGUGAAAUGCGUAGAGAUCUGAAGGAACACCAGUGGCGAAGGCGACUUCCUGGACUCAAACUGACGCUGAGGUACGAAAGCGUGGGUAGCAAACGGGAUUAGAAACCCCAGUAGUCC